UAUGAAGAACGCAGCGAAAUGCGAUAAGUAAUGUGAAUUGCAGAAUUCAGUGAAUCAUCGAAUCUUUGAACGCACAUUGCGCCCGCCAGUAUUCUGGCGGGCAUGCCUGUUCGAGCGUCAUUUCAACCAUCAAGCCCCCGGGCUUGUGUUGGGGACCUGCGGCUGCCGCAGGCCCUGAAAAGCAGUGGCGGGCUCGCUGUCACACCGAGCGUAGUAGAUUUUAUCUCGCUCAGGGCGUGCUGCGGGUUCCGGCCGUUAAACCACCUUCAUAACCCAAGGUUGACCUCGGAUCAGGUAGGAAGACCCGCUGAACUUAAGCAUAUCAAUAAGCGGAGGA
rnacentral:misc_RNA from 1 species